rnacentral:rRNA from 1 species
AUGAUGAGAACAGAACCAGUGCACUGGGCAAGGGCAUAUUUUGCAGUUGGUUCCAAAUGUGAGUCAGUGGAUAACAACUUGUGUGAAUCAUUCAAUCAUGAAAUUAUGGAUGCAAGGUUUUAUCGAAUAAUUUCCAUGCUAGAGAAAAUAAGGAAGAAAAUGUUUGCUAGAAUUCAAGAACAGAGGGCCAAAGGUGUGAAAUUUCAUGGAAAAAUAUGCCCUAGCAUAUUCAGAAAGUUGAAAGCCAGCAUAGCAAGAACACAGUUCAUGGAGGGCCUUUGGAAUGGCAAAGAUGGGUUUGAAGUGAGACUGGUAACUGGAGAAGAAGGUAAUACACUGUAA